UACAUGGGGUGCAAACGUUGCUCGGAAUUAUUGGGCGUAAAGCGCACGUAGGCGGUUCGUUAAGUCGGAUGUGAAAGCCCUCGGCUCAACUGAGGAAGUGCACCCGAAACUGGCGAGCUUGAGUACGAAAAGAGGAUCGCGGAAUUCCCGGUGUAGAGGUGAAAAUUCGUAGAUAUCGGGAGGAACACCGGUGGCGAAGGCGGCGAUCUGGGUCGAUACUGACGCUGAGGUGCGAAAGCGUGGGGAGCAAACAGG
rnacentral:rRNA from 1 species